CGGAGGGAGCUAGCGUUGUUCGGAAAUACUGGGCGUAAAGCGCACGUAGGCGGCGCAGCAAGUCAGGGGUGAAAUCCCGGGGCUCAACCCCGGAACUGCCUCUGAAACUGCAGUGCUAGAAUCUUGGAGAGGCGAGUGGAAUUCCGAGUGUAGAGGUGAAAUUCGUAGAUAUUCGGAAGAACACCAGUGGCGAAGGCGACUCGCUGGACAAGUAUUGACGCUGAGGUGCGAAAGCGUGGGAGCAAACAGGAUU
rnacentral:rRNA from 1 species